rnacentral:lncRNA from 1 species
AACGUGUUAUCUUAGUUUUAACAUUUUCUUAUGAUUAAAUAUGUUUGUGGUUCAUAUCAGCACUACUACUAUUUAUGGCCGGCUUUUCCCCGAUUUUCGCCUGUGUGCGCCGCUCGAAUGCACUGGGCGUUCUUCAGAAUUCACCGGUUGAAUUAACCCAUCGAGUUAGAAUCCUAAGGAGCCGUGAUCAUGUGAUCAAAAGCGGGCAUAGUCGGCGGAAUUUUUCGACACAAACGUCAAACAGCUGUUCGCGAAAGUUGUUUUGCUAUUUUUCACGUUUACGAGGUUUUUUUAAAGAUUAGGCGUUUUAUUUAGCUGAAAUAUUGGAAAAUAAUAAUGGUGUCAUGUGCUUUUCGUUCCUGCAAGAGCAGGGAUGGCGUAGAUAAGAAGAAAUCAUCAAAAAUUACAUUCCAUAGGUUUCCCAAAGAUCCGGCACUUCGUAAGAUUUUGAUUUGUAAGAUUGAGUUUGUAAAUGUAAAUAGAAUUGGCUGGAAUCCGACAAAAUAUAGUGUUUUGUGUUCUAAACAUUUUUCUGAGUCACACAUAAACCGAAGCUUAAGUAGUUAUGUUCGUUUAAGAGGAAAUGCUAUUCCAAACCUUUAUCCCUCUCAGGAGCGAGUGGACAAUCAGGAGUUUAAUAAAGCAGUUGAAGUUGAACCACCAAAUAUUAGUGUUCAAAUUUUAUCAAAUACUUCACCCCCGGUGAAGCAAGCACCUAAUAUUGGUUCAAUUGGUAAUGAAGGGGAUAAAACUAGUAAUAAUGCAGAGCCAGGGCCAUCUACUAUGAUGCAGGCAGGUGAUACUGGUGAUAUUACUCCCAGAAAAAGAAAGUUAAUUAACAAACUAGAUAAAACAUUACUAGUCAGUAGGGAGAGGAAAAGGAGAAUUAGGUCACUACAAAAAAACUAGUUCGAAGAGAAAAACGUAUUGGCACUAUGCAGGAGAUUAUUCAAGAGAUACGGAAGAAAAAAUUUAUGCAAGAAGAAUGUUUAGAUGUGAUUAACAAACUAGGCGGGGGACCUCAAGAAUUAUUUAUGAGGCAAUAUAAAAGAGCAAGAAACAAAGCAUUACCAAGAAAGUAUUCUGAAGAAUUAAAAGUAUUCGCUUUAACUCUUCAUUUCUAUUCUCCAGCCGCAUAUCAAAAACCUUUAGUUUGUGUUUACCUCACACAAGAACGUUAAAUCGGUGGUACCAAAGCAUCAACGGAGAACCUGGAUUUACCAGUGAAUCAUUUAAGGUUUUACAGCUAAAAGCUUCUGCUGAGAAAAAUCUAAUAAUAUGCAGCCUGAUUAUCGAUGAGAUGUCUAUUCGGCAACAUGCAGAAUGGGAUUCUGAAAAAGACAAGUGCUAUGGGUAUGUUGACCUAGGAACGGGAUCGAAAGAAACCUCUCUUGCUAAGGAUGCCUUGGUGUUCCUUUUAAAUUGUGUGAAUGGUUACUGGAAAAUUCCUGUGGGCUUUUUUUUUAUUGCCGGCAUGACUUCGAAACAGAAAAAGGAACUUGUGCUACAGUGUUUGGAAAAAUGCCAUGAAGUGGGUAUAAAGGUUGUCAGUUUGACAUGUGGUGGCCCACCUGUAAAUUUGGCCAUGGCAAAUCUUUUGAACCAUAAAAAUUUGAAAACCUUUUUUAAACAUCCCUCAAUAACCGAUGAUGGUGUUUUGUUUUUAGAUCCAUGUCAUAUGGUGAAGUUGCUUCGUAAUACUCUGGGUGAAAAGUGUUUAGUGAAAGUGUUGCCACUGCAUUAGCUUUUUGUGAAAAUGAACUCCAUUUAAAACAAUUCAUUGGAGCUGGGGCUACUACGAGAUUCAUGUUAAUAAUUAACAAUUUAUUCGAUAUUUUAAACUGUAGGA